CCUACGGGUGGCUGCAGUGGGGAAUAUUGCACAAUGGGCGAAAGCCUGAUGCAGCAACGCCGCGUGCGGGAUGACGGCCUUCGGGUUGUAAACCGCUUUCAGCAGGGACGAAGCGCAAGUGACGGUACCUGCAGAAGAAGCACCGGCUAACUACGUGCCAGCAGCCGCGGUGAUACGUAGGGUGCGAGCGUUGUCCGGAUUUAUUGGGCGUAAAGAGCUUGUAGGCGGUUAGUCGCGUCGUAAGUGCAAACUCAGGGCUUAACCCUGAGCCUGCU
rnacentral:rRNA from 1 species